rnacentral:ncRNA from 1 species
GAGAGCCGGAUGCGGGAGAUCUGCAUGUCCGGUUCGAUGAGCGGGGUGUGGAAACGGGGUUAAGGCGAGGGUACUCGGGCACCGCCAGACGAAAGGGGCGGCAACAGACAAACCGAACCUACCGCUAC